AGCGAACGCUGGCGGCAGGCCUAACACAUGCAAGUCGAACGCUGUAGCAAUACAGAGUGGCAGACGGGUGAGUAACGCGUGGGAACGUGCCUUUCGGUUCGGAAUAACUCAGGGAAACUUGAGCUAAUACCGGAUACGCCCUUCGGGGGAAAGAUUUAUUGCCGAAAGAUCGGCCCGCGUCCGAUUAGCUAGUUGGUGUGGUAAUGGCGCACCAAGGCGACGAUCGGUAGCUGGUCUGAGAGGAUGAUCAGCCACACUGGGACUAGAGACACGGCCCAGACUCCUACGGGAGGCAGCAGUGGGGAAUAUUGGACAAUGGGCGCAAGCCUGAUCCAGCCAUGCCGCGUGAGUGAUGAAGGCCCUAGGGUUGUAAAGCUCUUUCGCCAGGGACGAUAAUGACGGUACCUGGAUAAGAAGCCCCGGCUAACUUCGUGCCAGCAGCCGCCGCAG
rnacentral:rRNA from 1 species